GGCUGUCCGAAGGUGCUGAGUUACCUCAAUUGACUGCUCACAGUCAGUUCCAAAUUACAUUUUUUAUUCAGCACCCCACCCCCUUCUCACUACUGCACUUGACUAGCUUUUA
rnacentral:Y_RNA from 1 species